rnacentral:rRNA from 1 species
UACGUAGGGAGCAAGCGUUGUCCGGAAUCAUUGGGCGUAAAGCGCGCGUAGGUGGCCUCAUAAGUCCGCUGUGAAAGUCAAAGGCUCAACCUUUGAAAGCCGGUGGAUACUGUGAGGCUAGAGUACGGAAGAGGCGAGUGGAAUUCCUGGUGUAGCGGUGAAAUGCGCAGAUAUCAGGAAGAACACCAAUGGCGAAAGCAGCUCUCUGGGACGGUACUGACGCUGAGACGCGAAAGCGUGGGGAGCGAACAGG